rnacentral:lncRNA from 1 species
UUUGCUGCAAUUGGAUUGAGAAAAUUGAGGGGAAAGAGGGAGCUGCAGUGAACUGGAUUGAGAGUGAGGGCUGCAGUGAAGAGAAAAGUGAGGGCUGCAGGGUCACGAUUUCUUUGUUGUUUUUUAAUUCAUUUUUAGGUUUAGUUUGUAAAAUUUGGAGAACAUGUUUAACUUGUUUUCAGUUGUAUAGUUAUAAUAAUGAAUCCGGAUUUUGUGUUUUGUAAUUUGUUUUGUGAAAAAAAUCCACCAAACAUGUUUUAUGUGUGUAUUAUAAAAAUGAAAACGAAAACAUGGCUUGCAAAACG